CUCCUCAUCCACCACACAAACGACCCGAACGCUUCGGAUGUCAACGCAGCCCAUACGCAUCUCUGGCAUCUGUUCUUUAUUUACAUACACCAUGUCGUUGUUUUGUUUUCUACUGAAGUGAUUUUGAUCAACAAACACCAACCGAUUUUGGAUGUUAUUUUAACGAAAUUCGGAAAAAAUGUACCACGGUCGGCUACGGCUACGAAUUAAAGAAAAACCAAAGACGUCCACAAUCAUCCCAACAAAAGACACAGUCACGAUAUACGAAAAAUUGGUGGAUUUGACAUCGAAACGUGUGGAAGAAUUGUUUCCAGUACCUCGACGAUGGAGAUCUGGCAAAUGUGGCUUAUGUGAAUCGAACGUUCAAAGCAUUGGCUGAGAAAUUGUUUCAUAAACGACACAAAAACGAAAUGAGGAUCCGAAUGAAUGUAACUGGAUGGAAACCAAUAGCAUGUCGUUUUAAGAAUAUAAUUUCAAGUUUAUAUCUAACAGGACCGACGAUACCGUACAGGGAACGUAUUUUAGACUUCUUUGCACAGUGUCUAAUCAAAUCGUUGAAUUCCUUCGGAUACAUUCAAAUGAAUCACUUCA